GCCCGAGUGGCGGAAUGGUAGACGCAGGGGAUUCAAAAUCCCCCGCCGCAAGGCGUGCCGGUUCGAGUCCGGCCUUGGGUACCA
rnacentral:tRNA from 1 species